GUGAAUCCAUGCUUACUACUCCUGAUCACCUUCUUGUCAUCAUGUGGGAGGAGAUGGCCUCCCAAAGGAGCUACUCUAUCACCUUCCCAGGGAAUGAGCUGAGGCUGAUUCACUGGAAGCGUGUGUGCCUCACUGCUAUUGACACCAAUCCAGCUGGAGGGGAGAGAGAGACAAGGAACUGUUGCUGUGGCUUCUUGCAAGGGUUCUCUGAAGGCAGGAGGAAAGCAAGGAGUUGGGGCCAUGGAGUGCUGUAGGGGAGAUGAUCCCAUCAGAAAUGAUUGCCUGUUCAGGAUGAGAGUCAACUUGAUUGUUCCUUGUGUAUAUUCUCCAUGGUUUGAGGUUUGCAUCAUGUUCUCUGGCUCAUUUCUGGAUAGUAUUGUAGACACUAAUGCUGAAUUUCAGUUUUCUGAUCCCAUUUCAGAAGAUAUGGUCUUAAAGCAUAAAUGGGUAUCUUUGCAGAAAAUCCUAGGGGAGCAUGAGACAGCAUUUAGGAAUGUGUGUCAGUAUAGGACAGUAAGGUUUAUAUCUACUGGUGACAACUACAGAACUGCCUGCCUGGUUGAAUAGCAACUCAGCACACUCAAUACUAGCUUAUAAGAAAACCCUGCAUGGUAUAUGUGCAGGGAAAAGGGGUGGAACUAGUUCUGAAUCACAUAAGUAAUUGUGAUCACCUUGAAAAACUGUUUACACUAGCUUGUAUGUAGGCUGUACAGUAACAGAACAGCCAGUAACAUUUUAACCUUGCUUUUUCAUGGCUAGAUCACCUAAUAAUUUUGUUGAAAAAUAAAACUUUCACAGAAGUUUGAUUUUCACAGAUAUUAGGCUUGUUCCAGUUUUAGUAAAAUCACUUAAUUCAGACAGGAUUAGCAGGGAAAGAAUCCUGUUUGUGAGGCUAAGAAGAUGUUCAGCUGGGCAUACAGCAGGUAACUGUAACACCACCGUAAGUUCACAGAGCCAUGUAAUAUGUUGGAAGAGGAUUGAUGAUGUGACAUCUCUUAUUUUGCAGACAAAACAAUGCAUUUUUUCCUGCUUUUAUCACAUACAAAUUCCUUCAUAAUUAACCAUUCUCUGUCAUCUGUGGUGGUUUUCAGGAUUCAUCUUUCCAUAACAUACUUAUUUUCUGGCACUGGCUUCAAGUGUGUUAGGAUAUUUUCUGCUGUGCAGUGGAAGAAAGAAACUUGGAGGGGAGGAGCCAGAGUGCAAUUUAAAGCAGAAUUGUAAUGAAUUUGCACAGUACAUCAAGCCUCACAUCUGUACAUUCAGUAUGAAAGGUGGAGAGACUGCUGCUCUCCAUAAGGACAAAUGAGUAAAGCAAAGUAAUGCAGAUUCUGAGAAGUGACACCUGUGUGCAGUAGGAGAGUGAUGAAGAUGCUGACAGUCCUUAUCAGUGAGGCUGGUGGUGUGAAGUGCUUAGCUGGUGGUGUUGAUGGAUCAAAGCAGUGUGCCAAUGUCUCUUGCCCUUGGUGCUACUGCACUGGAAAAGGAGUUGUCUGAGCCCCUGUGACACUCUCACCUGCAGGGCCUUUGUGAACAGAGAAGCUUUUAGGGCAUAAUCUAGAUACCACUGGAGAAAAGUAAAAGUGUU